GAUGAACGCUGGCGGCGUGCCUAAUACAUGCAAGUCGAGCGAACAGACGAGGAGCUUGCUCCUCUGACGUUAGCGGCGGACGGGUGAGUAACACGUGGAUAACCUACCUAUAAGACUGGGAUAACUUCGGGAAACCGGAGCUAAUACCGGAUAAUAUAUUGAACCGCAUGGUUCAAUAGUGAAAGACGGUUUUGCUGUCACUUAUAGAUGGAUCCGCGCCGCAUUAGCUAGUUGGUAAGGUAACGGCUUAUCAAGGCAACGAUGCGUAGCCGACCUGAGAGGGUGAUCGGCCACACUGGAACUGAGACACGGUCCAGACUCCUACGGGAGGCAGCAGUAGGGAAUCUUCCGCAAAGGGCGAAAGCCUGACGGAGCAACGCCGCGUGAGUGAUGAAGGUCUUCGGAUCGUAAAACUCUGUUAUUAGGGAAGAACAAAUGUGUAAGUAACUAUGCACGUCUUGACGGUACCUAAUCAGAAAGCCACGGCUAACUACGUG
rnacentral:rRNA from 1 species